rnacentral:rRNA from 1 species
AACGAACGCUGGCGGCAGGCCUAACACAUGCAAGUCGAGGGAGAAGGUUACUUCGGUAACUGGAGACCGGCAGACGGGUGAGUAACACGUGGGAACAUACCUUGUACUGGGGGAUAACAGUUGGAAACGACUGCUAAUACCGCAUACGCCCUUCGGGGGAAAGAUUUAUCGGUAUAAGAUUGGCCCGCGUUAGAUUAGCUAGUUGGUAAGGUAACGGCUUACCAAGGCGACGAUCUAUAGCUGGUUUGAGAGGAUGAUCAGCCACACUGGGACUGAGACACGGCCCAG